GACGAACGCUGGCGGCGUGCCUAAUACAUGCAAGUCGAGCGGAGCACUUCGGUGCUUAGCAGCGGACGGGUGAGUAACACGUAGGCAACCUGCCUAUAAGACUGGGAUAACUAUCGGAAACGAUAGCUAAGACCGGAUAACUGGUUUUCUCGCAUGAGGGAAUCAUGAAAACCGGAGCAAUCUGUGGCUUAUAGAUGGGCCUGCGGCGCAUUAGCUAGGUGGUAGGGUAACGGCAUACCAAGGCGACGAUGCGUAGCCGACCAGAGAGGGUGAACGGCCACACUGGGACUGAGACACGGCCCAGACUCCUACGGGAGGCAGCAGUAGGGAAUCUUCCGCAAUGGACGCAAGUCUGACGGAGCAACGCCGCGUGAGUGAUGAAGGUUUUCGGAUCGUAAAGCUCUGUUGCCCUAGACGAACAGCAAGGCGAGUAACUGCGCUUUGUGUGACGGUAUAGGAGAAGAAAGCCCCGGCUAACUACGUGCCAGCCGCCGCCGUAAAAC
rnacentral:rRNA from 1 species